UCCAAGUCUGCAAGACCCUGAAGCACUGGACAGCAAGCGUCCUUAGCGCUACUGCCAAUAACAAUAUGCACUAGACCACCUAGGAUGUCAACACAUGCUCCUAGCUUGAGAGUGUCAAUGGGGCAAGUCUCUGGCUUUGACGGUGGAGGUGGACAUGGAACCGGGGGUGGUGGAGGAGGAGGAGGACAUGGUGUUCCAGUUGGUGGUGAUGGAGUGACAGGUGGUUUUGGAUAGUGGGGUGGUGAUGGGGUCACCGGAGGCUUUGGUGGUGGGAAAGUGAUCGGUGGUUUAGGCACGUGGGGAGGUUUGGGGACGGCGGGAGGCCGUGGU
rnacentral:lncRNA from 1 species